GCAAACACAUCAAUUAUUUUCUGCAACUCCUCUUUCCCGCCACUCAAACCCAAAUCCCAUCUCCCAAAAUCUUCAUUUCUCCCUCCCAAAUCCCCAAUAUCAAUCCCUAUCCACUCGGACCACAGCUCUGAGCUCGUAAAAAUCCAGCCUUUAACCCUCAAGCCGGCGAAAUUGCGGCGCCGGAGCUCGUUCAACGCCCAAUCCGCGCAAGACCCAUCUCUUGUUUCUGAUUCUCCCGAGUGGAGAGGAGGAGAGGGAGGGACUGGACGACGUCGUUUCUGCUGUUUGCUUUCUGGGCUAGUCUCUUGUAGUACUAUGCUUUCUUCCUCGCUCCUGAUCAGACACCGGUCACAGAUAUGUAUUUUGUGAAAAAGCUGCUGAAUUUGAAAGGUGAUGAUGGCUAUGAGAUGAACCAAGUCUUGGUAGCUUUCUGCUCGAAAAGCAAGAUUCCAAUUUGGCCAUUCAUUGUUCUAUCAUGCCUUGGAGGUGCGUAUGCACUCAUUCCAUUCCUUACUUUGUUCUCUGGAGACCUGUUCAAGAAUCGGAGCUCAGGAGAUGGCCUUUGAAUUUCCUUGAGUCAGAGCUAACUGCCGGGGUUACGUUGGCUGCAGGGAUGGUCAGUAUCAUCCGGUGGUGAUGUGUGGAAGGAAUUUUACCAGUAUUUUCGAGGAAGCAAAUUUGUGAGUGUUUUGGUUCUUGAUUUUGCUAUGCAUUUUUAUCUGUGUUUCAACCUCAAUUUUGACUCUUGAUCCACGCCAUGAGUAUUGAUUUCGCUCUCCUCUCAACAUUCGCGCCUUUCUGGAUCUACAUUGACAUGACUGCUCGAAAAUGGUGAGUGAGGCUUAUGAUUGUCAAGAAUUUUCGGCCAAUUGUCCGAUGCUCGAGAGGCUACCUCAGACGAGGCCUAGUGAUCUCGAUGGAAGAAGAAGUAUACUUGGUGGGAUGUGGAGGCUUGAAGUUGAAGGGGUCUAUAGUGCAACGAAGGCGACAUGUUCUUCAUUAGUCUUCAAUUAGUGAAGAAGAUUUUGAUUAUUUUAGCUUGUUGAAAAUGGGAAUUUGAUGAAAUGACAUCAUACGUAGGAGUAUACAUUUGUGAUUCUAAAUUUCUAAUAAACUCUCAAAUUUGUAUAACAAUAUGAAGAUGGGGGUUCUUAGGUAGGUUUAAAGUUUAAA